rnacentral:rRNA from 1 species
CCUACGGGAGGCAGCACUGAGGAAUAUUGGGCAAUGGAGGUGACUCUGACCCAGCCAUGCCGCGUGCAGGAAGACUGCCCUAUGGGUUGUAAACUGCUUUUAUACAGGAAGAAACACUGGUAUGUAUACCAGCUUGACGGUACUGUAAGAAUAAGGACCGGCUAACUCCGUGCCAGCAGCCGCGGUAAUACGGAGGGUCCGAGCGUUAUCCGGAAUCAUUGGGUUUAAAGGGUCCGCAGGCGGUCAAUUAAGUCAGAGGUGAAAUCCCAUAGCUCAACUAUGGAACUGCCUUUGAUACUGGUUGACUUGAGUUAUACGGAAGUAGAUAGAAUGUGUAGUGUAGCGGUGAAAUGCAUAGAUAUUACACAGAAUACCGAUUGGGAAGGCAGUUUACUACGUAUAUACUGACGCUCAUGGACGAAAGCGUGGGGAGCGAACAGGAUUAGAUACCUUGGUAGUCCACGCCGUAAACGAUGGCUACUAGUUGUUGGGCAUUAGCUCAGUGACUCAGCGAAAGUGAUAA